UACGUAGGGACCAAGCGUUGUUCGGAUUUACUGGGCGUAAAGGGCGCGUAGGCGGCGUGGUAAGUCACUUGUGAAAUCUCUGAGCUUAACUCAGAACGGCCAAGUGAUACUGCUGUGCUAGAGUGCGGAAGGGGCAAUCAGAAUUCUUGGUGUAGCGGUGAAAUGCGUAGAUAUCAAGCGGAACACCAGUGGCGAAGGCGAGUCCCUGGACAACUCCUGACACUGAGGCACGAAAGCUAGGGGAGCAAACAGG
rnacentral:rRNA from 1 species